AGUUUUGGCUACAAACUCUGGUCCGAUCAUGAUGGCAGAGUGAUUACAGGUAGACUUGCGAGCUCCAUUCGUUUCUUCGUCUUCGGUUCUUAGGGCAACCUCGCUGCAGAUCCUGUACCAAAAGAAGAGCUUAAAUCCAGGAAUUGAGAAUUUGAUUCUUCGAAACCCGUUGGAGAACAUGAAAAUAAAAACAUUGGCUUCUUUGUCGAGUUUCUUCAUAACGAUAGAACUCACAAUACAGUAUCUUUGGAAGUGUUCUACACUGUAUUGAUGUCUCCCACGUCCAAAAUAAAUAUACAACUAAGACGAUGAUGUUUUAUUGCAAGACCUAACGUAUUCUCGUCCCAGUUGAUAAGGAAAGAGUUAUUGAUUUUAAUUUUUAGCCACGCUAACUCCAAGUUUUUAACUAUUAAAUGCAAAGAAUCUGAUUUUGCUCGAAUUGAUUGAUAUGGGGAGUUUUGCUAAACCAGAAAAUGCUUUGAAACGAGCUGAAGAGUUGAUUAAUGUUGGACAGAAGCAAGAUGCUUUGCAAACACUUCAUGACCUUUUCACCUCAAGGAGACAUAGAGCAUGGCAAAAGCCACUUGAAAGGAGCAUGUUUAAGUAUAUAGAGCUGUGUGUAGACUUGCGCAGAGGUCGGUUUGCCAAGGAUGGACUCAUUCAGUAUCGUAUCAUAUGUCAGCAAGUAAAUGUUGGUUCUUUGGAGGAGGUGAUCAAGCAUUUCAUGCAUCUAUCAACCGAGCGAGCCGAACAAGCUCGUACCCAAGCACAAGCCUUGGAAGAAGCUCUUGAUGUUGAAGAUCUAGAAGCAGAUAAAAGGCCGGAAGACUUAAUGCUAAGCUAUGUGAGUGGAGAGAAAGGAAAAGAUAGAUCUGAUCGGGAGCUUGUGACACCAUGGUUUAAGUUUCUUUGGGAAACGUAUAGAACAGUGCUUGAAAUAUUACGAAACAACUCAAAAUUGGAAGCACUAUAUGCGAUGACGGCACAUCGAGCUUUCCAGUUUUGUAAGCAAUACAAACGAACAACAGAGUUUCGCAGGCUGUGUGAGAUCAUAAGGAAUCAUUUGGCAAAUCUCAAUAAGUAUCGAGACCAGAGGGACCGGCCUGAUCUAUCAGCUCCAGAAAGCUUGCAACUGUAUGCUGACACAAGAUUUGAGCAGCUAAAAGUUGCCACUGAGCUUGAACUCUGGCAGGAAGCCUUUCAAUCUAUUGAAGAUAUUCACGGACUGAUGUGUAUGGUUAAGAAGACGCCCAAAUCAUCCUUGAUGGCUGUUUAUUAUGCUAAGCUAACUGAAAUAUUUUGGAUUUCUUCUAGCCAUUUAUAUCAUGCUUAUGCAUGGUUCAGGCUUUUCUUAUUACAGAAAAGCUUUAAUAAGAACCUGAGCCAGAAGGAUUUGCAAUUGAUAGCAUCAUCUGUAGUAUUGGCUGCCCUUUCAGUAAAUACUUAUGAUCACACCCAUGGUGCAUCUCAUUUGGAUAUAGAGAAUGAGAAACAGAGGAACUUGAGAAUGGCUAAUCUCAUAGGAUUUAAUCUUGAGUCUAAAUUUGAGAGCAAAGAUGUGCUCUCAAGGUCAUCCCUCCUUUCUGAACUAGUUUCCAAAGGUGUAAUGUCUUGUGUGAUUCAAGAAGUGAAGGACCUUUAUCAUCUUUUAGAACAUGAAUUUUUCCCUCUAGAUCUUGCUUCAAAAGUUCAGCCGUUGUUAGCCAAAAUCUCAAAGUUUGGGGGCAAGCUUUUGUCGGCUCCUUCUGUCCCUGAAUUGCAAUUGUCUCAAUAUGUUCCUGCAAUGGAAAAGCUUACCACCUUGAGAUUGUUGCAGCAGGCAUCCCAGGUGUACCAGAUGAUGAAGAUUGAAAGUUUAUCUAGGAUGACUCCAUUUUUUGAUAUUUCUGUUGUGGAAAAGAUAUCUGUGGAUGCAGUCAAGUAUAAUUUUGUGGCCUUGAAAGUGGACCAUAUGAAGGGUGUUGUUAUUUUUGAUAACACGAGUCUUGAGUCAGAGAUUUUAAGAGAUCACUUGGCCACCCUUGCAGAAACUUUAAAUAAAGCUAGAGCAAUGAUUUAUCCUCCUGCUAGAAAUGCCUCAAAAAUUGGUGAAUUGCUUCCCAGUUUAACUGAGAUUGUGGAUAAGGAACAUAAGAGACUACUUGCUCGAAAAUCCCUCAUUGAGAAACGCAAAGAAGAAGAAGAGCGCAAACUUCUGGAGAAGGAACGUCUGGAAGAGUCAAAGAGGAUGGAACUACAAAAGAUAACUGAGGAAGCAGAAAGAAAAAGACUGGCUUCUGAGUAUGAGGAGAGGAAGAAUGAAAGGAUACGUAGGGAAAUAGAGGAGCGGGAACUUGCAGAAGCCCAAGCUCUUCUUCAGGAAGCUGCACAACGUAUUAAAUGGAAAGGAAAGAAGCCGGUCAUAGAGGGAGAAAAACUUACGAAGCAAAGUGUGAUGGAGUUGACUUUGAGUGAGCAACUCCGAGAAAGACAGGAAAUGGAAAAGAAAUUGCAGAAAAUUGCCAAAACCAUGGAUUAUUUGGAGAGAGCAAAAAGAGAAGAGGCUGCUCCCCUGGUUGAAGCUGCAUAUCAACAGCGUUUAGUGGAGGAGAAGCUAUUACAUGAACACGAGCAACAGCAAGAUAUUGAACUUAGCAAACAGCGCCAUGCUACAGAGAAAAAGGAGAAGGAGAGGCUGGCUCCAAUUAACCACAAUAAGGAAAUAUUUCAAGAAAGGGUUGUCAGUUGCCGGGAAGAAGAAUAUGCCAGAUUGAGAGGGGAGAGAGAGGACCGAAUCUCACAAAUCUUGCAUUCCAGGAGACAAGAGAGAGAGAAGAUGAGGAAGUUGAAGUUUUAUUUGAGUUUAGAAGAGGAAAGGCAGAGAAAAUUGCAUGAGGAGGAAGAAGCACAGAAGCGCGAAGAAGCCGAGAGGCGAAGGAAGGAGGAGGCCGAGCGCAAAGCAAAAUUGGACAAGAUUGCAGAAAAGCAGAGGCAAAGAGAACAAGAACUGGAAGAAAAAGAGAGGCAAAGGAGAGAAGCGCUUUUGAGGAGGUCCACUGAGGGGCCUUUAAAGCCUUCUGAGCCGCCCACUGUGGCCACCCCAACGGAGUUGGUAUCUGCUGCUCCAGCUGUUGCUGUAGCUGCACCAGCACCAGCACCAGCACCUGGAAAAUUUGUCCCAAGGUUCAGGCGGGAGAGAACUGAGAGCUCCGGGCAGGCUCAACCUCCAGAAUCUGAUCGUUGGGGUGGAGGCAGACAGGAUGACCGAAUAUCCCAAGCUGAUGAUAAGUGGCGUAGGGAUGACCGCAGAUCCUCUGGUGGGUCGUCAUUUGGUGGGGGUGGCAGUUCAAGGUCUACUUCGACAUGGUCAUCAUCCAGGAUUCCCCCUCGUGGAUCUGAACGCUGAUUUUCAAUUAAAGAGGCCAACUUUGGAGGUUUAGCAGCUGAUUUUAACAGCCGGCUUUGGAGAUUUUGCAGCUGAUUUAACAGCCCACUUUGGAGGUUUAGCAAUUAGGCUUUUCCUGCCAAAAUGUGGUUGUGGUUCUUUUCUGAAUUUCGCUUCAUGUGCUGGGUUGUUUAUUUAAUUUUUCAGUUCUUAUAUUUAUUUAUUCUUAAUUAAGAUUUUACUAGUUUGCUUAAUUCAUUUGGGAUUUUGUUCCCAGCAUGUCUAGCUUGGUUUAAUGAAUUUUGUUCUGUACGAUG